GUGAGUAAGGGUGCUGUGUGUGAGGGGUGGAGUGUGUGUGCUGUGUUUGAGUGAGGGUGCAGGGGUGCAGUGUGAGUGUGCGCUGCGAGUGUCAGGGGUGCAGUGUGUGUGAGUGAGGGUGCUGUGAUUGUCAGGGGUGCAGUGUGUGUGCGUGAAGGUGCUGUGAUUGUCAGGGGUGCAGUGUGUGUGAGUGAGGGUGCUGUGUCAGGGAUGCAGUGUGUGUGUGUGAGUAAG